GGAAUUUACCGGAUGUAGCGAUGAUAUGCGCUAGAUAAUCGGUCGGAAACACCAGUGGUCGAUAAGCGAUUAACCUGGGCUGAGCUAAUGACGCUGAGCGACGAAAGCGUCGGGCUAGCUAACAGGACUUAGAUACCCUGGUAGUCCACGCCCCUAAACGAUGAACUACUAGAUGCUAGGAUUUUUUCUGUAUCGUAGCUAACGCACUAAAGUAUUCCGCCCUGAGGAGUACGGUCGCUAAGGCUGAAACUCUAAGGAAUUGGCGGGGACUCGCACAAGCGGUGGAGCAUGUGGUUUAAUUCGAUGAUAAGCGAAGAACCUUACCAGGGCUUGACAUGUAAGCAUAAGCUUGCGUGAAAGCGUGGAGUGGAUCUGGGCUUGCCUAGAUCGGUUUACACAGGUGCUGCAUGGCUGUCGUCAGCUCGUGCCGUGAGGUGUCCGGUUAAGUCCGGUAACGAGCGCAACCCCUAUUAUCAGUUGCCGUCACUUCGGGUGGGCACUCUGAUGAAACUGCUGGUUAAAACUAGAGGAAGGAGGGGAUGACGUCAAGUCAUCAUGGCCCUUAUGUCCUGGGCUACACACAUGCUACAAUGGCGGAUACAACGGGUUGCGAACUCGCGAGGGGGAGCUAAUCCUAUCAAAGUCCGUCUCAGUUCGGAUUGCAGGCUGCAACUCGCCUGCAUGAAGUUGGAAUCGCUAGUAAUCGCGGAUCAGCAACGCCGCGGUGAAUACGUUCCCGGGUCUUGCACACACCGCCCGUCACACCACGUUUAGUCGGUCUUACCCAUAAGCAAGCUGCGCUUUACCCUU
rnacentral:rRNA from 1 species